rnacentral:rRNA from 1 species
AUUGAACGCUGGCGGCAUGCCUUACACAUGCAAGUCGAACGGUAACGCGGGGCAACCUGGCGACGAGUGGCGAACGGGUGAGUAAUGCAUCGGAACGUGCCCAGUUGUGGGGGAUAACUGCUCGAAAGAGCAGCUAAUACCGCAUACGACCUGAGGGUGAAAGCGGGGGAUCGCAAGACCCCGCGCAAUUGCAGCGGCCGAUGUCGGAUUAGCUAGUAGGUGGGGUAAAGGACCACCAAGGCAACGAUCCGUAGCUGGUCUGAGAGGACGACCAGCCACACUGGGACUGAGACACGGCCCAGACUCCUACGGGAGGCAGCAGUGGGGAAUUUUGGACAAUGGACGCAAGUCUGAUCCAGCCAUGCCGCGUGCGGGAAGAAGGCCUUCGGGUUGUAAACCGCUUUUGUCAGGGAAGAAAUCUUCUGGGUUAAUACCUCGGGAGGAUGACGGUACCUGAAGAAUAAGCACCGGCUAACUACGUGCCAGCCGCCGCCGUAAGAC